rnacentral:rRNA from 1 species
GGGAUAUUGCACAAUGGGGGAAACCCUGAUGCAGCGACGCCGCGUGAGUGAAGAAGUAUUUCGGUAUGUAAAGCCCUAUAAGCAGGGAAGAAAAAUGACUGUACCUGAGUAAGAAGCACCGGCUAAAUACGGGCCAGCAGCCGCGGUAAUACGUAUGGUGCAAGCGUUAUCCGGAUUUACUGGGUGUAAAGGGAGCGCAGGCGGUGCGGCAAGUCUGGUGUGAAAGCCCGGGGCUCAACCCCGGGACUGCAUUGGAAACUACCGAACUAGAGUGUCGGAGAGGUAAGUGGAAUUCCUAGUGUAGCGGUGAAAUGCGUAGAUAUUAGGAGGAACACCAGUGGCGAAGGCGGCUUACUGGACGAUAACUGACGCUGAGGCUCGAAAGCGUGGGGAGCAAA